CACACUGUCUCCUGUCAGCUUUCUCUCCCUCCCCCGGCCCUCCUGCUGAUGAGAGACAGGAGCGAUGGAUGGUCUGAGUUAGCGGGGUCCCGGCACCACCCAGCGCAAAGGCACUGCACUCACGCACGCCAUGCACAUGCUGGCUCACCUCCUCCAUCCCAUGCCUCCCCUGUCUCCAGCAUUCCCUCUGGAAUACAUCAGCACUGUUGCCUUUGAGGCUGGCCUGCUUGAAUGCACACCUGAGCUCCGGAUUCACAGUGGAGGAAGCCAGAUGCCAUGUCAUGAGGGUGCUCAAGCAACUUUUUGGAGAUGUAUGUAUGGAGAGAAACUGAGGCCUCCUGCCAACAGCCAGCACUAACUUGGCAAGCAUGUUUGAGAGCCACCUGGGAAGUGGAGCCUUCAGCCCCAGUUAAGCCUUCAGAUGAGACUGCAGUCCUGGCCACCAUCUGGACUGCAACUUCACAAGAGCUCCUAAGCCAGAGCCAUGCAGAUGGAUUCUUGGCCCCCAGAAAUUGUGCCACUACAUUUUGGGAAAUUUAUUAUGCAGCCAUAGAUUACCAAUACACUCACUAUUUCUUUUUUCUGAUGCCAUACUAUAUUUUUGUUUGCUGAUUUUUUUCCUCCGUCUCUCCCACUAGGCAUUAAGUUCCAUAAGGGCAGUGACUGUGUCUGCGUGGUUCAUCCAUGUGUCCCCACAGCCUGGCAUAUGGAGCUCACUAAUAACUCAGGCAUGGGUAAAUGGAGAUCACUCAUUUUAGGCUCAGCCUAAUAAAUCUCCCUCCUAUGGCUCUCUCUAGAGAGAGCAGUAAAAUUUGCCCAACUUCUUUUUCUGUCUUUCUGUAUUUGAUUUCUUACACUUUCUGUGGCUUUCUGCUUAGUUUUAUUCCUGGCUGCCUGACAGAGGGUGGGUUUAUGCAGAUAAAGAGGCACCUGUGGGAGGAAGGGCUCUGUGUGCUUUCUCCUUUAAUAAGCUGUGUCUAAAAAAAAAAAAAAAAAAAAAA
rnacentral:lncRNA from 1 species